rnacentral:rRNA from 1 species
UACGAAGGGGGGCGAGCGUUGUUCGGAAUUACUGGGCGUAAAGGGCGCGCAGGCGCCUCAGGAGUCAGAUGUGAAAGCCCCGGGCUCAACCUGGGAAUGGCAUUUGAUACUCUGAGGCUGGAGUACGGGAGAGGAGAGUGGAAUUCCCAGUGUAGAGGUGAAAUUCGUAGAUAUUCGCAAGAACACCAGUGGCGAAGGCGGCUCACUGGCCCGGUACUGACGCUGAGGUGCGAAAGCGUGGGGAGCAAACAGGG